rnacentral:snRNA from 1 species
GGUAGUCACUAAUAUAUGAUCU